GUGUGUGUGUGUGUUUACCAUUGCUGCUGCUGUAGGUGAUGUUGUGUGUGUGUGUGUGUGUGUGUGGUUAUCGUUGCUGCUGCUGUAGGUGAUGUUGUGUGUGUGUGUGUGUGUGUGUGUGUGGUUAUCGUUGCUGCUGCUGUAGGUGAUGUUGUGUGUGUGUGUGUGUGUGUGUGUGGUUACCGUUGCUGCUGCUGUAGGUGAUGUUGUGUGUGUGUGUGUGUGUGUGUGUGUUUACCGUUGCUGCUGCUGUAGGUGAUGUUGUGUGUGUGUGUGUGUGUGUUUACCGUUGCUGCUGCUGUAGGUGAUGUUGUGUGUGUGUGUGUGUGGUUACCGUUGCUGCUGCUGUAGGUGAUGUUGUGUGUGUGUGUGUGUGUGUUUACCGUUGCUGCUGCUGUAGGUGAUGUUGUGUGUGUGUGUGUGUGUGUGUUUACCGUUGCUGCUGCUGUAGGUGAUGUUGUGUGUGUGUGUGUGUGUGUUUACCGUUGCUGCUGCUGUAGGUGAUGUUGUGUGUGUGUGUGUGUGUGUGUUUACCGUUGCUGCUGCUGUAGGUGAUGUUGUGUGUGUGUGUGUGUGUGUGUGUGUUUACCGUUGCUGCUGCUGUAGGUGAUGUUGUGUGUGUGUGUGUGUGUGUUUACCGUUGCUGCUGCUGUAGGUGAUGUUGUGUGUGUGUGUGUGUGGUUACCGUUGCUGCUGCUGUAGGUGAUGUUGUGUGUGUGUGUGUGUGUGUGUGUGUGUGUGUGUUU